UGAGUAAUGUCUGGGAAACUGCCUGAUGGAGGGGGAUAACUACUGGAAACGGUGGCUAAUACCGCAUAACGUCGCAAGACCAAAGAGGGGGACCUUCGGGCCUCUUGCCAUCAGAUGUGCCCAGAUGGGAUUAGCUAGUAGGUGGGGUAACGGCUCACCUAGGCGACGAUCCCUAGCUGGUCUGAGAGGAUGACCAGCCACACUGGAACUGAGACACGGUCCAGACUCCUACGGGAGGCAGCAGUGGGGAAUAUUGCACAAUGGGCGCAAGCCUGAUGCAGCCAUGCCGCGUGUAUGAAGAAGGCCUUCGGGUUGUAAAGUACUUUCAGCGGGGAGGAAGGCGAUGCGGUUAAUAACCGCGUCGAUUGACGUUACCCGCAGAAGAAGCACCGGCUAACUCCGUGCCAGCAGCCGCGGUAAUACGGAGGGUGCAAGCGUUAAUCGGAAUUACUGGGCGUAAAGCGCACGCAGGCGGUCUGUUAAGUCAGAUGUGAAAUCCCCGGG
rnacentral:rRNA from 1 species